rnacentral:rRNA from 1 species
AGCACUUUAAGCAGGNAAGAAAAAACUCGGUCUAAUACAUCGAGUCUUGACGGUACCUGAAGAAUAAGCACCGGCUAACUUCUGUCCAGCAGCCGCGGUAAUACAGAGGGUGCUAGCGUUAAUCGGAUUUACUGGGCGUAAAGCGUGUGUAGGUGGUUGUUCAAGUCAGUUGUGAAAUCCCUGGGCUUAACCUGGGAACUGCUUCUGAGACUGAACGACUAGAGUACGGUAGAGGGUGGUGGAAUUUCCGGUGUAGCGGUGAAAUGCGUAGAUAUCGGAAGGAACAUCAAUGGCGAAGGCAGCCACCUGGGCCUGUACUGACACUGAGACACGAAAGCGUGGGGAUCAAACAGGAUUAGAUACCCUGGUAGUCCACGCCGUAAACGAUGAGAACUUGACGUCGGUUUGCUCUGCAAAUCGGUGUCGUAGCUAACGCGAUAAGUUCUCCGCCUGGGGAGUACGGCCGCAAGGUUGAAACUCAAAGGAAUUGACGGGGGCCCGCACAAGCGGUGGAGUAUGUGGUUUAAUUCGAUGCAACGCGAAGAACCUUACCUGGGCUUGACAUGCUAGGAAUCCUGCAGAGAUGUGGGAGUCCCGCA